CAACGGACUUGAACGGACCGUCAAGGCCUGUUUCAUCGGACCGCUCUGCCGAUCUCUCGGCGUGGAGGAAACGUAAACAAAGGAGCUGUGCGCACCUGCUUUAAACAGAAGGCAGAAAACAAUGAGCCAGCCAUCAUCGUGCAGGAAGCCGACGCCAAAUGGGCUGCUGCUGAAUCAGUCAGGCAUGCACCAGCUAGGACCAAGAAAAUGGAGCAGUGUGCCUCUUCUCAGGAGUGACUGAGGGGCUGCCACGAGGGGAGAAGGCAAGCAUGUUUCUGAUUACAAGGAUGGACAGUUGGGCUGGGCUAGUUGGUAAGAAAUCAUGUUGAAAAACGGUGCGAAAACCAGACAAAGGAAAAAGAACACACAGUGCCUUGUCCUGUGUGUUUUCUUAUCCGUGCAUUUUGCGCUGUUUUUCAGC